AACGAACGCUGGCGGCAUGCCUAACACAUGCAAGUCGAACGAGACCUUCGGGUCUAGUGGCGCACGGGUGCGUAACGCGUGGGAACCUGCCCUUAGGUUCGGAAUAACUCCCCGAAAGGGGUGCUAAUACCGGAUAAUGUCUUCGGACCAAAGAUUUAUCGCCUUUGGAUGGGCCCGCGUUGGAUUAGCUAGUUGGUAGGGUAAAAGCCUACCAAGGCGACGAUCCAUAGCUGGUCUGAGAGGAUGAUCAGCCACACUGGGACUGAGACACGGCCCAGACUCCUACGGGAGGCAGCAGUGGGGAAUAUUGGACAAGGGGCGAAAGCCUGAUCGAGCAACGCCGCGUGAGUGAUGAAGGCCUUAGGGUUGUAAAGCUCUUUUACCCGGGAUGAUAAUGACAGUACCGGGAGAAUAAGCUCCGGCUAACUCCGUGC
rnacentral:rRNA from 1 species